AGAUCUCAAGGAACUCAUCUAAAUGUUUAUAUGGGUCUUCAUUGUUAAGUCCAUAAAAAGAGGGAAGCAUUUGGAUGACACUAGACUUAAUUUCAAACUGUACAGCAGCAGUGGUAUCAGGUAGUCGAAUACAAGAUGGAGAGGUAUAAAUGGAAGGAGUAAAGUACUCCUUUAACAGCUUGGGUUAUUCUUCAGCCAU
rnacentral:lncRNA from 1 species